rnacentral:rRNA from 1 species
UACGGAGAGUGCAAACGUUGUUCGGAUUCACUGGGCGUAAAGGGCACGUAGGCGGCUCGGCAAAUCGGUCGUGGAAUCUCGACGCUUACCGUCGAAACGGCGGCCGAAAAUACCGGGCUCGAGGGCGUGAGGGGUCACUGGAACUCCUGGUGAAGCGGUGAAAUGCGUAGAUAUCAGGAGGAACGCCGGAGGCGAAAGCGAGUGACGGGCGCGUUCCUGACGCUGAGGUGCGAAAGCUAGGGGAGCAAACAGG